rnacentral:rRNA from 1 species
AUUCCAGCUCCAAUAGCGUAUAUUAAAGUUGUUGCAGUUAAAAAGCUCGUAGUUGGAUUUCUGCUGAGGACGACUGGUCCGCCCCCUGGGUGAGCAUCUGGUUCGGCCUGGGCAUCUUCUUGGGGAACUCACUGCUCUUAAUUGAGGGGUGCUGUAACGCAGAUCGUUUACUUUGAAAAAAUUAGAGUGUUCAAAGCAGGCCAACGCAUUGAAUACAUUAGCAUGGAAUAAUGGAAUAGGACUUUGGUCUUAUUUUGUUGGUUUCUAAGGCCGAGGUAAUGAUUAAUAGGGAUAGUUGGGGGCGUUUAUAUUCCGUUGUCAGAGGUGAAAUUCUUGGAUUUACGGAAGAUAAACUACUGCGAAAGCAUUCGCCAAGGAUGUUUUCAUCG